rnacentral:rRNA from 1 species
UACGUAGGGGGCAAGCGUUGUCCGGAAUCAUUGGGCGUAAAGCGCGCGUAGGCGGCCUCAUAAGUCCGUUGUGAAAGUCAAAGGCUCAACCUUUGAAAGCCGAUGGAUACUGUGAGGCUAGAGUUCGGAAGAGGCGAGUGGAAUUCCUGGUGUAGCGGUGAAAUGCGCAGAUAUCAGGAAGAACACCCGUGGCGAAGGCGGCUCUCUGGGACGGUACUGACGCUGAGACGCGAAAGCGUGGGGAGCGAACAGG